rnacentral:rRNA from 1 species
UACGAAGGGGGCUAGCGUUGUUCGGAAUCACUGGGCGUAAAGGGCUCGUAGGCGGUCUGUUGCGUCGGGAGUGAAAACUCAGGGCUUAACCCUGAGCCUGCUUCCGAUACGGGCAGACUAGAGGUAUGCAGGGGAGAACGGAAUUCCUGGUGUAGCGGUGAAAUGCGCAGAUAUCAGGAGGAACACCGGUGGCGAAGGCGGUUCUCUGGGCAUUACCUGACGCUGAGGAGCGAAAGUGUGGGGAGCGAACAGG